GGAAAAGUUGCUAUAGGUAGGGCGAGAUAUUUGCUAAAUAUUGUGUAUUAACACAUGGGUGUUCGAUUCACCUCUUUUCCG
rnacentral:tRNA from 3 species